rnacentral:tRNA from 1 species
UGCGGCUGGAUCCCCUCCUUUCUAGGUUACUUCGUCGGAGAUGCCAAUCGAGCCAUUCGACGCCGCGGAUCCUCGUGAUUCGCGACGCGCAUCGUCCGUCAAGUCUCCAGGUCGUCUCUAGAAGCUCCACACACGCGUGCGCUGUUCUGCUGAUUCAGGGGAUUGCGCUCUAACAACGGUGUCAAACCGAUCAUCGGGGGCCUAUAGCUCAGGUGGUUAGAGCGCGCGCCUGAUAAGCGCGAGGUCAGUGGUUCAAUUCCACUUAGGCCCACCAUUUCCGGGGAUAUAGCUCAAUUGGGAGAGCGCCGGCUUUGCAAGCCGGAGGUUGCCGGUUCGAUCCCGGCUAUCUCCACCAGGCAUGGGUCCUGGGUGGUUCGCCCGAGAGGCGUCCACUCCUCGAACGAUAGAGUUCUGUAGCAGCGUCGGCGGAGCACGCUCCGGCGGCGCGAACACAGCUCUUUGACAACUGAAUACGGGUUGACGGGUAAAGAAGCUGAGCCAUCGAGCACCAUAAUGUUCGGUCAAG